GUGCUUGGUUUGGCAGCACAUAUACUAAAAUUGGAACAAUACAAAGAAGAUUAGCAUGGCACCUGCACAAGGAUGAAAUUUUUUGUUUGUUUGUUUGUUUGUUUGUUU